UACGUAGGGUGCAAGCGUUGUCCGGAAUUAUUGGGCGUAAAGAGCUCGUAGGCGGUUUGUCGCGUCUGCUGUGAAAACCCGAGGCUCAACCUCGGGCCUGCAGUGGUACGGGCAGACUAGAGUGCGGUAGGGGAGAUUGGAAUUCCUGGUGUAGCGGUGGAAUGCGCAGAUAUCAGGAGGAACACCAAUGGCGAAGGCAGAUCUCUGGGCCGUAACUGACGCUGAGGAGCGAAAGCAUGGGGAGCGAACAGG
rnacentral:rRNA from 1 species